rnacentral:rRNA from 1 species
UACGUAGGGACCGAGCGUUGUCCGGAUUCAUUGGGCGUAAAGAGCUCGUAGGCGGCCACUCAAGUCGAAUGUGAAACCUCGAGGCUUAACCUUGAGCCUGCAUUCGAUACUGGGCGGCUAGAGUCUGGUAGGGGGAUCUGGAAUUCCUGGUGUAGCGGUGGAAUGCGCAGAUAUCAGGAGGAACACCGAUGGCGAAGGCAGGUCUCUGGGCCACUACUGACGCUGAGAAGCGAAAGCGUGGGGAGCGAACAGG